UAGUCAGCGUCAUUGGUUUAUAAUCACCGUGUGUGCAGCCGCCCUCCGCUUCUCGACUCACAGCGUAACACCGGACUCCAGAGCCUUUGGGGUCAGAGGAGUGAAAAAACAAAAACCACGCUGACACUCGUAAGCACAGAUUUCAUGGAUUUAUAAGGCACAGAUGCUAAAACUGGUCUUGAGUUUAUGGUUUUUGUCUUUGUAUCACCUGUUGACUUAAAUGUAAGACUCGUGUGUGUGUGUGUGUGUGUGUGUGUGUGUGUGUGAGAGCGAGAGAGGUAGGGAGACAGACAGACAG